CGGACAAAAGGGGGCGGGAUCCAACGCUAGCCUCACACCAGGUCCUGGGAGCCCCCACCAACGGCUUCACGAAAACUCUGCUCGGUAGAGUUAUUAUCCCUACUUCACAGGUGAGGAAACUAAGGCUCAGAAAAGAGAGAGAAAUAACAUGCAGGGAUGUGGCCAGAUCAUCUCUCUGUCCAUAGCACCCACUCGAAGCCCAGGGAAUUUUCAGGGAAUACUGGCUGAAUGAACAAAUGGGUCUGUGCUAAGAAUGUGUGCGCUGAUGAUGCCCAGAUUCUUGGGGCUUGGACACGGAGCUUGUGUGAAUAUUAUCUGUGCCUCGGCCACACACCCACCGCCAAUGAGAGCCUAGGCCCAUGGGAUUCCCCUGAUUGGGGAGAGAAUGGUAAAGGAAGAAGUCUUACCUGGAGGCGAGCGCUCACGGCCAUCUGGUGGUCACCUGGGGAACUGCAGGUAUUGUCAGCCCUGGUUAAAUUUCACUCCCCGCUGCUUCAGGGGAGACGGUGAUGUUUAGGAUAGAAUGGAAGGCACAGUGGAUUUGGCUACGCAUACACUGGCUUCAGAUCCCAGCUCUGCCAUCUACUCUGUGAUUUGGGGCAAGUCGUUCAGCUUCUUUAGACUUCAACUAUGAAAUGGGGAUGCAGGGUUGUUGUAAGCCCUUCGAUCUAGUCUGGCACCUGGUAGCUGGGAAGGACUGGACAGGGUAUCAGCGGUGGGAAGAAAGCAAGGAGGUAUGGCAGAGGGCAUAAGGAGGAAAGAAGAGGAGGGGCCGCACGGUAGCCCUUUAGAGAAGAGAGACCCAGUUGGCAGUGUUGGCCUCCAUCGUCCCAUUGAUAUAGGGCAGUUUGGAGCGUGGAGAGAGUGCCCAUGUGAAAAUCCAUAACUUUGCUUGAGUCUCUGGGGUUUCUCAUGACUAGAAAUAUCACUGCCCUCUUCCCUUUCCUGGCUGCCUGAGGACCAACUUCCAUCUUGAACGACACUGUAACUCUAUGGAUCAGGGCGUUCUAACCAACCAACUACUUCAGUGGAAGCAUGGUCACUGAUGUUCUUUGCCCUGAGAAGGCAACAGUACCUAAGACAGAACUUUGAGAAAAACUAGCCAAACUGUACAAGACCACACCAGCUGUCAUCUUUAUAUUUUGAGUCAGAACCCACUUUGGUGGUGGCACAACUGGCUUGGGCCUGAUUUACAAUUCCCUGGAUUAUGCAAAGAAAAAUGAACCCAAAGAGAGCCUUGCAGAACGUGGGCCGCAUGAGAAGAAAAAGACCUCCAGAAAAGAGCGAAUGGCACAGGAGAACAGAAUGAAGAAAGUCAGGUCUCCACACAGGCCAAUGUUGGUGUAGACAAACAGAAGAAGUAAAGAUUCUGCCAUGAC